rnacentral:rRNA from 1 species
UACGUAGGGCGCAAGCGUUGUCCGGAAUUAUUGGGCGUAAAGAGCUCGUAGGUGGUGUGUCGCGUCUGCCGUGAAAGCCCGGGGCUUAACUCCGGGUCUGCGGUGGAUACGGGCAGGCUAGAGGCAGGUAGGGGAGAACGGAAUUCCCGGUGUAGCGGUGAAAUGCGCAGAUAUCGGGAGGAACACCUGUGGCGAAAGCGGCGCACUGGACCACAACUGACGCUGAGGCGCGAAAGCUAGGGGAGCAAACAGG